rnacentral:rRNA from 1 species
UGGGUGACGCAGGAGGGUAGCUCAGCCCAGGCGAUGGUAGUCCUGGGGUAAGCAUGUAGCCCGGUGUGCAGGUAAAUCCGUGCACCAUCAAGGGGUGAGAUGUGAUGCCGAGCCGUUUUAGGUGAAGUGAGUGAUCCCAUGCUGCCGAGAAAAGCCUCUAGUUAGUGUGAUUGCGGCCCGUACCCCAAACCGACUCAGGUGGUCAGGUAGAGAAUACUAAGGCGAUCGGGUGAACUGUGGUUAAGGAACUCGGCAAAUUGCCCCCGUAACUUUGGGAGAAGGGGGGCCAUGUCCGGUGAGCGCACUUGCUGUGUGAGCUGGGUGUGGCCGCAGAUACCAGGGGGAAGCGACUGUUUACUAAAAACACAGGUCCGUGCGAAGUCGUAAGACGCUGUAUACGGACUGACGCCUGCCCGGUGCCGGAACGUUAAGAGGACCGGUUAGGGACCACUUGUGGUUUCGAAGCUGAGAAUCUAAGCGCCGGUAAACGGCGGUGGUAACUAUAACCAUCCUAAGGUAGCGAAAUUCCUUGUCGGGUAAGUUCCGACCUGCACGAAUGGCGUAACGACUUCCCCACUGUCUCAACCACAGGCCCGGCGAAAUUGCAGUACGAGUAAAGAUGCUCGUUACGCGCAGCAGGACGGAAAGACCCCGGGACCUUCACUAUAGCUUGGCAUUGGCGUUUGGAGCGUCUUGUGUAGGAUAGGUGGGAGACUGUGAAGCGGACACGCCAGUGUUCGUGGAGUCAUUGGUGAAAUACCACUCUGGUCGUUUCGGGCUUCUAACCCGGGCCCAUGAUCUGGGUCGGGGACAGUGCCUGGUGGGUAGUUUAACUGGGGCGGUUGCCUCCUAAAAGGUAACGGAGGCGCCCAAAGGUUCCCUCAGCCUGGUUGGCAAUCAGGUGUCGAGUGCAAGGGCACAAGGGAGCUUGACUGUGAGACAGACAUGUCGAGCAGGUGCGAAAGCAGGGCCUAGUGAUCCGGCGGUGGCAUGUGGAAGCGCCGUCGCUCAACGGCUAAAAGGUACCCCGGGGAUAACAGGCUGAUCUUCCCCAAGAGUCCAUAUCGACGGGAUGGUUUGGCACCUCGAUGUCGGCUCGUCGCAUCCUGGGGCUGGAGUAGGUCCCAAGGGUUGGGCUGUUCGCCCAUUAAAGCGGCACGCGAGCUGGGUUUAGAACGUCGCGAGACAGUUCGGUCCCUAUCCGCUGCGCGCGUAGGAGACUUGAGAGGAUCUGUCCCUAGUACGAGAGGACCGGGACGGACGAACCUCUGGUGUGCCAGUUGUCCUGCCAAGGGCACGGCUGGUUGGCUACGUUCGGACGGGAUAACCGCUGAAAGCAUCUAAGCGGGAAGCCCACCUCAAGAUAGGUCUCCCUCCCACCUUCGGGUGGGGUAAGGCCCCCAGCUAGACCACUGGGUUGAUAGGCCAGAGAUGGAAGCAUCGUAAGAUGUGGAGUUGACUGGUACUAAUAGGCCGAGCGGCUUG